rnacentral:tRNA from 1 species
GGUAAAAUGGCUGAGGAUAGGCGAUAAAUUGUAAAUUUAUUAAUGAAAUAAAUUUCUUUUACCA